rnacentral:rRNA from 1 species
UUCGCCGCUCGUGACGUCUCGAGAAGUCCACUGAACCUUAUCAUUUAGAGGAAGGAGAAGUCGUAACAAGGUUUCCGUAGGUGAACCUGCGGAAGGAUCAUUGUGGAGACCCUCAACGAGGAGGACCGUGAACGUGUCAACAACCGUCGUCGGGCCGGGCCCUCCUGGAGCCGACGCAGUCCCUGCCCUUGCGGUGCGGACGUCCGAACAAACCCCCGGCGCGAUGGGCGCCAAGGAUUACCAAACACGCAGGGGGGCGGGACUUCGUCCCGAUCGCUCCGUAGUUUUUGCUCUUYAUGGAAUGACUCUCGGCAACGGAUAUCUCGGCCCUCGCAUCGAUGAAGAACGUAGCGAAAUGCGAUACGUGGUGUGAAUUGCAGAAUCCCGCGAACCAUUGAGUCUUUGAACGUAAGUCGCGCCCGAGUCCUUCCGGUCGAGGGCACGCUUGCCUGGGCGUCACGCCAUCGUCUCCCUGCGCGCCCCCUCCCCCACGUGGGAUUGUCGGAGGCGGAUGUGGACAUUUGGCCCCCCGUGCCCCCGGGAGCGGUCGGUCGAAGAGCGGGCCGUGGCCGGUGGCCGGACACGACGGGUGGUGGUGCCAUGAGCAAAGCCGAACGUAGUGCCCUGGCCACAGAGAUGAGCUUCGGAGGAGGACCCCCACCCCAGCACAGCAGGUUGCCUCGGAUUGCGACCCCAGGUCAGGCGGGGCCACCCGCCGAGUUUAAGCAUAUAAAUAAGCGGAGGAGAAGAAACUUACGAGGAUUCCCAUAGUAACGGCGAGCGAACCGGGAUCAGCCCAGCUUGAGAAUCGGGCGGCUGCGCCGUCCGAA